rnacentral:rRNA from 1 species
CCUACGGGUGGCAGCAGUGAGGAAUAUUGGUCAAUGGACGAGAGUCUGAACCAGCCAAGUAGCGUGCAGGAUGACGGCCCUAUGGGUUGUAAACUGCUUUUAUGCGGGGAUAAAGUGAGGGACGUGUCCUUCAUUGCAGGUACCGCAUGAAUAAGGACCGGCUAAUUCCGUGCCAGCAGCCGCGGUAAUACGGAAGGUCCGGGCGUUAUCCGGAUUUAUUGGGUUUAAAGGGAGCGUAGGCCGUGGAUUAAGCGUGUUGUGAAAUGUAGACGCUCAACGUCUGACUUGCAGCGCGAACUGGUCCACUUGAGUGUGCACAACGCAGGCGGAAUUCGUCGUGUAGCGGUGAAAUGCUUAGAUAUGACGAAGAACCCCGAUUGCGAAGGCAGCUUGCGGGAGCACGACUGACGUUGAAGCUCGAAAGUGCGGGUAUCGAACAGGAUUAGAUACCCUGGUAGUC